CUCGUAAUCGAACCCUUCAGGAACAGCAAUGGUCUUGGAAGGAUCUCCGUCCUGGACGAUGAUGAGAUGGUAAGGCUGGAGAAAAGGUCUCCACAUCUCGAGGAAAUCGAGGUUGCGGAUGGUGGGGAUCACGAUGUCGAGCUCAUCCUUCAGCAACGCAGUGUGGUUCAACGGGAUUCCAACGGUAUUCGCCGGUUCAACCAUGAUUCGAUUGAUUGAGAAUUGGAGAAGAGAGAGAGAGAGAGAGAGAGAGAGAGAGAGAGAGAGAGACGGAAAAGGAAAGAAACCCUAAUCUAUUAUUUUAUCUUUUCCGGUUAUGUUUAACCGCGAUUGGACCGGGUUCGCAAAAAUUAAACGGUUUAUCCAAAAAA